UUAAUUCAAGGCACUCAACAUCAAGCAUGCAGUGUCCAGUGCCUAUUGCCCACAAACAAAUGACCAAGAUGAAUGGACCAAGCAAAAGAUGAAGUGUGCCCUCAGACGGUAUGUGAGCGAGGCCCAGAAUGAUUGGGAUGUUCAUCUGCAGGCCAUUGUGUAUGGCAUAAACACAGAAAAACAGGAAUCAACUCAGUACAGCCCAUAUUUUCUCCUCUUCCAUCGUUAACCCCAUCUCCCGGAGGUGCUGAAUCAUUGUCCAAUGGAAGACAGCUUUGAGGUUGAGGUUGAGGUUGAGGAUUGAGGUGUGUGACGAUUUUUUCUUCUUUGCCAUUAAAAAUCCCCUUGAUUGAAUUGGCCAUAAGCUAGCUGACAUUCCUUACACUUUCCUAUAGAGACAUUUGUUGUUUCUGAAUUGAUGGGCAAUUUUUGUAAUAAUUCAAUUUAGUGUGUUUUGUGCUAUAUAGUAUACCUUUUGAAUUACAUUUGAGCCUAAUUUAGUAUUGUAUAUCACAUUUAUUGUCAAUUUAAUUUUAUGAAGUAAUAGUUCAGAAUUUCUCUCUGUAGCUUUGAUAGACAUGAUACUUCCUAACACUGCUCAUCUCCAUCACCAUCUCAUUCAUGAUUCUCUCCGUCUCCUUUUCUCAGUCUCCAUCUUGACCUGUAUCCCAAAAGCUUUGAUUCAUGCUGUCUUUUCAUUUUUGUCUAUAAGGCAAAAAUGAAAUGGACUGUCAACUGUCAGGCUACUUGGCAAAUUCACAUCAAAUUUGCAUUAGACAAAUGACCAGAAAGUCUGUUGGCACCUCAUUUUAACCUCCAAACUCAUAACCUGACGGACGCAAAUCACACCUGUUCUUCUCUGUUUAAUUGCUCACAGAGUAGUAAUCACACAGAUGCCAACGCACGUCAUGCAAAACCGUUAUGUGAAGAAACUUGAUUACAGAAAAUUGUCAGGAAAACACUGACUGCCUUGCACAAUAACCCCAUCCUGAGCCAUUGCUUACUAUAUUUGAAAUACCAUGGGAUUAUGAAAUACCGAUUGCAAAGCAGAUGUACGGAUUGGGCAUUACUUCUGAGAAAUGAUGAACUGCCUUCUCUCUUCUCCCUUCAUCUUCUGUAGCAUUUGAUCAGUGGAACUAGGGUAGUGCUUAACAACUAGCUACACAGUAUUGUUAAGUCUUAUGUCAUGGGGGAGGUCACACAUGGUCUUAUGUGAUCAUGUAAACAAUAUUCAAACCAAAACAACGGCACCCUAGACUAAACUAUGACACUUUUUAACUAAUGGCCUCCU